GGCUCUUUAAAAGAUGAUCCUGUCAUGGGAGCUCCACCCUUGUGAAUGGGAAGGUUCUUAUGAAAGAGGCUUCACUCUGCACUCAGCUUUCUUGUCCUUCUAUCUCUGCUUUGUGAGGACACCGUAUCCUUCUCCUACAAAGAAUGCAGCAACCAAGUAUCUUGGAAUCAGAGAGCAGCCCUGACCAGAUAACCAAACACGCCAGUGCCUUGACUUUGAACUUUGCAGCCUCCAGAACUCACAUACAAUAAAAUUUGCAAUGUACAGGGAAGAUUAACUGACCCGCUGCACGAAGAUGACACACAAAUUUAUGAAGAUGGUUCUUUUUAUUUUCCUUAAAUUUUAGGUAAGGGCUAAAUUGGAUUAAAAGAAUUGAAGAGGUAGAAGAGACAAAAAAAGGAGUCUUGUGAAGACAUAGUGAAAAGACAGCUGUCUGAAAGCCAGAGAAACAGUCCUCAUGGGGCAAUUGAAUCAUCUAACACCUUGAUCUUGGAGUUCUCAUCCUCCAGAACUGAUUUAUUAUCUUGGCAUCUGCUUUGAAAAGGACCCAACCAAAACAAUAUUAUAUCAGCAUAAAAUCUAAGGGUAGGUUUCUUUUAUAUUACAGCCUCAACAAAUUUGUGUAAGAUUGGAAUUUUGUCUUUCUUGAGUAUUUGGUAAAUAUUUUAAAGCAAUAUUUGAU
rnacentral:lncRNA from 1 species